rnacentral:rRNA from 1 species
GAGUUUGAUCGUGGCUCAGGACGAACGCUGGCGGCAGGCUUAACACAUGCAAGUCGAACGCAUCCUUCGGGAUGAGUGGCAGACGGGUGAGUAACGCGUGGGAACGUGCCUCAAGGUACGGAAUAGCACCGGGAAACUGGUGGUAAUACCGUAUAUCUCCUUCGGGAGAAAGAUUUAUCGCCUUGGGAUCGGCCCGCGUUGGAUUAGCUAGUUGGUGGGGUAAAGGCCUACCAAGGCGACGAUCCAUAGCUGGUCUGAGAGGAUGAUCAGCCACACUGGGACUGAGACACGGCCCAGACUCCUACGGGAGGCAGCAGUGGGGAAUAUUGGACAAUGGGCGCAAGCCUGAUCCAGCCAUGCCGCGUGAGUGAAGAAGGCCUUCGGUUGUAAGACUCUUUCACUGCGAAGAUGAUGACGGUAGCCAGAGAAGAAG